rnacentral:tRNA from 1 species
GGCUCUGUAGUGAAAUUCAUGGUGAGUUGCAAGCUCAUUGAUGCGUAUUAACUGUGCGCCAGGGUCU